UACGUAGGGGGCAAGCGUUGUCCGGAUUUAUUGGGCGUAAAGAGCGUGUAGGCGGUUUGGUAGGUCCGCUGUGAAAACUCGAGGCUCAACCUCGAGACGCCGGUGGAAACCAUCAGGCUAGAGUCCGGAAGAGGAGAGUGGAAUUCCUGGUGUAGCGGUGAAAUGCGCAGAUAUCAGGAAGAACACCCGUGGCUAAGGCGGCUCUCUAGUACGGUACUGACGCUGAGACGCGAAAGCGUGGGGAGCGAACAGG
rnacentral:rRNA from 4 species